GAGGAAUAUUGGUCAAUGGGCGAGAGCCUGAACCAGCCAAGUAGCGUGCAGGAAGACGGCCCUAUGGGUUGUAAACUGCUUUUGUACGGGAAUAAAGUUGGCCACGUGUGACCAUUUGCAUGUACCGUACGAAUAAGGACCGGCUAAUUCCGUGCCAGCAGCCGCGGUAAUACGGAAGGUCCGGGCGUUAUCCGGAUUUAUUGGGUUUAAAGGGAGCGUAGGCCGUCUCAAAAGCGUGUUGUGAAAUGUCCCGGCUCAACCGGGGAUGUGCAGCGCGAACUGUGAGACUUGAGUGUGCGGAAGGUAUGCGGAAUUCGUGGUGUAGCGGUGAAAUGCAUAGAUAUCACGAAGAACUCCGAUUGCGAAGGCAGCAUGCCGCAGCACCACUGACGCUGAUGCUCGAAGGUGCGGGUAUCGAAC
rnacentral:rRNA from 1 species